rnacentral:rRNA from 1 species
GACGAACGCUGGCGGCGUGCUUAACACAUGCAAGUCGAACGGAAAGGCCCCUUUGGGGGUACUCGAGUGGCGAACGGGUGAGUAACACGUGAGUAACCUGCCCUUGACUUCGGGAUAACUUCAGGAAACUGGGGCUAAUACCGGAUAGGAAUCCUUGCUGCAUGGUGGGGGUUGGAAAGCUUCGGCGGUUUUGGAUGGACUCGCGGCUUAUCAGCUUGUUGGUGGGGUCGUGGCUUACCAAGGCUUUGACGGGUAGCCGGCCUGAGAGGGCGACCGGCCACAUUGGGACUGAGAUACGGCCCAGACUCCUACGGGAGGCAGCAGUGGGGAAUAUUGCACCAUGGGCGGCAGCCUGAUGCAGCAACGCCGCGUGCGGGAUGACGGCCUUCGGGUUGUAAACCGCUUUCAGCAGGGGCGAAGCUUGUGGUGACGGUACCUGCAGAAGAAGCACCGGCUAACUACGUG